rnacentral:rRNA from 1 species
GACGAACGCUGGCGGCGUGCCUAAUACAUGCAAGUAGAACGCUGAAGCUUGGUGCUUGCACCGAGCGGAUGAGUUGCGAACGGGUGAGUAACGCGUAGGUAACCUGCCUGGUAGCGGGGGAAAAUAUUGGAAACGGUAAGCAAUACCGGAUAAAGGUAGAAGUUGCAAGACAAUUUGCUAAAAGGGUCAAUUGGAUUACUAACAGGAUGAACCGCGUUGUAUUAGCUAGUUGGUGAGGUAACGGCUCACCAAGGCAACGAUACAUAGCCGACCUGAGAGGGUGAUCGGCCACACUGGGACUGAGACACGGCCCAGACUCCUACGGGAGGCAGCAGUAGGGAAUCUUCGGCAAUGGACGGAAGUCUGACCGAGCAACGCCGCGUGAGUGAAGAAGGUUUUCGGAUCGUAAAGCUCUGUUGUAAGAGAAGAACGAGUGUGAGAGUGGAAAGUUCACACUGUGACGGUAUCUUACCAGAAAGGGACGGCUAACUACGUG